AUAUUCUGUGAUAUAUCGCAAUUUAUUACCCUUUUCCCAAUUUCAAAUGAUGUCCCCAAAAGGAAAAAUCAGUCAAAACACAAUAUGUUUACUUCUAA